CAAACCCGGAGCUCCUGGCUGAGAUUUCAUUCAGACCUUACUCAAAUGAAGCUCCCACUGACUUCACUUCAGCAGGACGGAGCAGGGGAUCCUUGCUCUGAAAGAAGACAGAAAACCCGCAAAAGUUCCUGCCAAUAGCACUUAGAGGAAAAUUCCUUCCCAGGCCCAGAUUUGGCAAUCAGGUCCACCCUGCAGGCCAGGAGCAUAUGGAACCUCUCCAGGGGGAAAUGUGAGAUGUAGGAGUUCCCCGGAUUAUACUGAACAACGUGCCAGACAAGAAAUGGACUUUUGGAACAAGAAGUCUUAAGUAGUUUUCCUGGGUAAUAUCUAGGGGAAGGUGAAUGAAAAUUCCCCACCUCCAGUUAUG